UACGGAGGGUGCAAGCGUUGCUCGGAAUCAUUGGGCGUAAAGCGUACGCAGGCUGUUCGUUAAGUCGGAUGUGAAAGCCCUGGGCUCAACCUAGGAAGUGCAUUCGAAACUUCCAAGCUCGAGUUUCGGAGAGGAAGGCGGAAUUCUCGGUGUAGAGGUGAAAUUCGUAGAUAUCGAGAGGAACAUCGGUGGCCGAAGGCGGCCUUAGCUGG
rnacentral:rRNA from 1 species